rnacentral:lncRNA from 1 species
CUAUGACAGACAAGGCAAGCUCUACUCUCAGAAGCAAAAAUUAUAUAUCUAGGAGUCAGAGUAUGAAUCAAGAAGAAUGGACUUCUGCUUCUUAUCUACCUAAUGCCAGCACUCUGGCAGGCUAUGUUUCCUGGCACUGGGGUUUUGAAUGAGGAAGAAUUGCUUCCAAGCACAGUGCCCUGAGGAAAAGACCACAACCUCUACUUUAUUGUCUCUUCUUAACAACAUUUACAAUUUUUUUUUUCUCCUGCUGUUGAGGGACAAAGAGCAAAGCAACUCUGCUAAGAACGUGACAGUUACAGUUCACAUUCAACCUGCUGCCGACCUGUUUUCAGAUAUUAAAACCCUUUGGCUCAUCCUGUCCACUCCCUACUAUGUGUAGUUUACACUGGAAAAAGAAGGCUUCAAAGUGUGUCAAGAGUUAACACCUCAAGACAAUCACCACUUGGCUCUUUGAGAGCUAUCUGCCAGGAGGAGCCUCAUAGCUUGAUAGAUACACUGCAAUUUUUCAUCUUUUCAGCCAGGGUGAAUUUUGCUUUUUGACUAUGGCUUUUGGAUUUCCAAGAACAGAGAGUUGAAGCUUGUAUCUACACAAGGCUACUAAAGCACUCUAUUUGUCAGAUGUUUCAAAGAUAAUGAUGACAGCAAUGCAUUUUCUACAUUCAUAUCCUCAAUCAUAUGUUUUUGAAUGCUUACUGGAAAACCGGUUUAAAAGAAAGGUGACUAGUUAUUGGUCUUGCUCUGACAGCCGUGGAAACCAUUUGCUGAUGAAAGCACAAGCAACAACAACAAAAAAGAUGAAUAAACUGGAUUUCAACAAAAACACAUUUGUGCUUCAGAGAACAUAAUCAAGAAAGUGAAAAGGCAACCCACCAAUGGGAGAACACAGUUUCAAAACAUAUAUCUAAUAAAAUAUUUGAGUCCAGAUU